GUUAAGGUCAUCCCCUUCAUAGAGCAGCCUUGUUCCUUAAAUGGCAGAAGCAUUAUAGCAAUACAGAAAUAUGCACCUGGGAACAAAAUAUAUUGGUACACACCCACAUUAGUCUCCAGAGAAAUACAAAUCAGAUUUGACAGCUACUUUCUGGAUGCAGGAAAUAAAUUCCUAGUAGAGUAAAUGUGUUUUGUGUGAACACAUGUAUAUCACCAAAUUUCAGCUUUUUUUUUAAAAAGUAUUAGUGCCCACUUUGAUGACGCAUUAAAAGGAUUUUAUUUAUUUUUACAAAUACAAAAGAGAAUUAAAUUCUUUGCAUACAAGAUUUUUAAUAAGAUCCACAAACUCCAAACAAUUUAGCCCGUGCCUCCUCUUGACCAACUCUUAGCAAUCCAAACCCUUCCCUGACUUUCCAAAGAAACAGCCUGAUACAACCACUACUCUUUACAGCUGUACAGGGUCAUCAGAACAGAACACUUAGGCCAACAACCAAGGAUGACCAAAAAGUCCCAGUAUUCUUUCUUAGCCUGGUCUCAUUUCACGUAUACUCCAAAGCAGGCCUGUUCAGGUAAUUUGAGACAUAGAUGGUUCAAAUGUAAACCAGUAGUAAAGUAUUUAACAUGUCUACAAAUAUGUGAUUUGGAAGUAGAAGAAGUCAUUAUUUAGGCCAGGUACUACUAAUAAAAA